UACAGAGGGGGCAAGCGUUAUUCGGAAUUAUUGGGCGUAAAGGGCGCGUAGGCGGCCUGGCAAGUGGAAGGUGAAAUCCCUCGGCUUAACCGAGGAACUGCCCUCCAAACUGCUUGGCUUGAGUCCGGGAGAGGUGAGUGGAAUUCCCAGUGUAGCGGUGAAAUGCGUAGAUAUUCGGAAGAACACCAGUGGCGAAGGCGACUCACUGGACGACUGUUGACGCUGAGGUGCGAAAGCGUGGGGAGCAAACAGG
rnacentral:rRNA from 1 species